rnacentral:rRNA from 1 species
AAUACAUUCAGUGGCGAACGGGUGAGUAACGCGUGGAUAAUCUACCUACGAGAUGGGGAUAACUAUUAGAAAUAGUAGCUAAUACCGAAUAAGGUCAAUUGAGGUGUUAAUUGAUGAAAGGAAGCCUUUAAAGCUUCGCUUGUAGAUGAGUCUGCGUCUUAUUAGCUAGUUGGUGGGAUAAGAGCCUACCAAGGCUAUGAUAAGUAACCGGCCUGAGAGGGUGAUCGGUCACACUGGAACUGAGAUACGGUCCAGACUCCUACGGGAGGCAGCAGCUAAGAAUCUUCCGCAAUGGGCGAAAGCCUGACGGAGCGACACUGCGUGAACGAAGAAGGUCGAAAGAUUGUAAAGUUCUUUUAUAAGUGAGGAAUAAGCUUUGUAGGAAAUGACAAAGUGAUGACGUUAAUUUAUGAAUAAGCCCCGGCUAAUUACGUGCCAGCAGCCGCGGUAAUACGUAAGGGGCGAGCGUUGUUCGGGAUCAUUGGGCGUAAAGGGUGAGUAGGCGGAUAUGCAAGUCUAUGUGUAAAAUACCACAGCUCAACUGUGGAACUAUGCUGGAAACUGCAUGACUAGAGUCUGAUAGGGGAAGUUAGAAUUCCUGGUGUAAGGGUGGAAUCUGUUGAUAU